rnacentral:rRNA from 1 species
GAUGAACGCUGACAGAAUGCUUAACACAUGCAAGUCAACUUGAACUUCGGUUUGGGUGGCGGACGGGUGAGUAACGCGUAAAGAACUUGCCUCACAGAUAGGGACAACAUUUGGAAACGAAUGCUAAUACCUGAUAUUAUGAUUUUAGGGCAUCCUAGGAUUAUGAAAGCUAUGUGCGCUGUGAGAGAGCUUUGCGUCCCAUUAGCUAGUUGGAGAGGUAACGGCUCACCAAGGCGAUGAUGGGUAGCCGGCCUGAGAGGGUGAUCGGCCACAAGGGGACUGAGACACGGCCCUUACUCCUACGGGAGGCAGCAGUGGGGAAUAUUGGACAAUGGACCAAGAGUCUGAUCCAGCAAUUCUGUGUGCACGAUGAAGUUUUUCGGAAUGUAAAGUGCUUUCAGUUGGGAAGAAAAAAAUGACGGUACCAACAGAAGAAGUGACGGCUAAAUACGUG